rnacentral:rRNA from 1 species
UACAGAGGUCUCAAGCGUUGUUCGGAUUCAUUGGGCGUAAAGGGUGCGUAGGUGGCGCUGUAAGUCGGGUGUGAAAUUUCGGAGCUUAACUCCGAAACUGCAUUCGAUACUGCGGUGCUUGAGGACUGGAGAGGAGACUGGAAUUCAUGGUGUAGCAGUGAAAUGCGUAGAGAUCAUGAGGAAGACCAUGGCGAAGGCGGGUCUCUGGACAGUUCCUGACACUGAGGCACGAAGGCCAGGGGAGCAAACGGG